AUGUAGAAGUGCAAGCAGACGAAACCUCAGCAUGCCAACUUGGAGGAGGACCAGGGUGAGCAGCAACUGAAUCCAGAGUUCGCAGAUGCAGCCUGAAUGGCGCCAGUGGUGGGGGCCCAGGGUGCUCCAAUGGAUCACCAAGGGAAUGAUGAUGAAGCGAAUGAGGACAAAGCCAUGUGGUAAAAUGGCUUCAUCAGGAGGAGAUGGACACCUGUGAGAAAUACUGUGCAGAGUUCUUUAGCGUCUCUGAGUUCUUGAAACAUAAGAAAAAUUGCACUGAAAAUCCCCCUGUCCUCUCCAGGAAUGACAGUGAGAGGCCAUGACAGCUCUCUGGAGCCAGACUGAGCCAUACCAGCCACCCAGUCCAAGUAAUAAAGAUGGCCACAAGGAGAACAGUGGCAGCUCAGGGGACAUGAAAGAGAAGCUGGGUGUGGAGUCUGUGGUGCACUUACAGACAGAGAUGGCCCUGCCACCCACACCUAAGGACAUAGGCUAUUUACCCACACGCAAAGUAGCCAACGCUAAUGUGCCCAUGCAGGCUCUCUGGGGCACCAAGGUGGCAGUGAAUCUGUGGAGUGCAGGUGCACUGCCAGCCUGUGCCCAGUGCCCACAGCAUCCCAUGGGUCCUCGAGCAGAUCUUGUAUCUGCAACAGCAGCUACAGCAGAUCCAGCUCACCAAGCAGAUCUACAUUGAGAUGAACGUGUGGGCCUCCCACAUCCUCCACUGUGGCAGGGCAGGGGCUGACACCCUGAAGACUUUGGGCAGCCACAUGUCCCUGCAGGUUUCUGCAGCUGUGGUUUUGCUUAGCCAGAAGGCUGGAAGCCAAGGUCCGUCUCUGGAUGCCUUGAAACAAGCCAAGAUACUGCACACCAACAUCCCUUCUACCUUCAGCACUCUGCCCCAGGACUGAUGCCUUUUGUUCUGAAGCCAGAUGGGAAAAGGGUACUCUCUUCCCUUUCCCUGUUUGGGAAAACAUCAUGUGUCCCAUACUGAGUGCUUUGCUCCCUCAGGCUCUGGGCUUGGUGCUCUUCCAGGGUACUUUCUCCACUAUGGCAUUAGACCCGUCCAAGAAAGGGAAAGGAAGGCUAUGGAACAUCUCCAAGCACAAGUGUAAGUGCUCUAGCAAGGUUUUUGGGACUGAUAGCUUCUCAUGGAUCCACCUCUGCUCCCACACUGGAGAGAGACCCUUCGUGUGCUAUGUCUGUAGUCAUCACUUCACCACCAAGGGAAACCUCAGGGUACAGUUUCACAAACAUCUCCAAGAGAAGGUGAACCCCCAGUUGUUUGCUGAGUUCCAGGAAAAAAUGGCAACAGGCAAUGGCAACCCAUAUGCACUCUGUACCUGCCCCCAUCAAUGAAUCGAGCCUCUCUUUAAACAGCAAACUUGUCCUUGUAACUUCCUCUCUAAGGCUACCUCAGAAUCUCUCUUCAGAGACUAACCCGAAGAACCUCAUGGAUGGCCUGUUGCCCAAUUACCUGUAGCCCAGUCCUUCUGCAGAAAGUGAGGGCAGGCCUACACUCCUUGAGGUAAGGACAAACAAUAAUUCACCAAGUACUGGUGGCUUCUAAGUGAGUGGGACCCCCGGCCAGGACCAGAGACCCUAAAAUUGCUGUAGCUGUUUGAGAACAUCCACAAUGCCGCCACUGGCUUCAUUUUCUACUGAUUCCUAAGCUAUCUCAAAAUGUAUUACUGCACAUGCACCCACACACCAGGGAGAGACUAUUCCAGUAUAAGAUUUGUGGCUGAGCUUUUUCUACCAAAGGCAACUUGCAGACUCACCUUGGGGUUCACUGAACCAACACACCCAUAAAGAGGCAGCAUUCAUGCCUCAUCUGCCAGAGUUACCAAUGCCGUGAUAUUGCAACAGCAUAUUCAGAUGCACACGGGCAGUCAGAUUCCCAAUAUUCCCUUGCCAGAGGAUCCCUGUGACCUUAUGAUCCUGAUCCAAUGAUGGUCAGUGAGGAUGGCAGUACAAGUGCCAUCUGCUAUGAUGAUGUCCCCAAAAGCACCGAUGUAGAAGUCAGCUCCCAGGAGGGCCCAAGCAGCUCCUCAAAGAUCCCCGUAUCUCCUUCCAUGACGGCUUCCUUAGAUGCCCCAGGUAGGGGGAGUGGGUCCUAUCCCUUUUGGCCUGCAGUGCCAGAGCAGCCAAAAAAUGGUUCAGUGGAGAGCAAUGGCUUGACCAACCACUCAUCCUCACUGAAAUGAGACUAGGAGUGUGAGAGCCAAAGUCCAGACACCAUGGAAACUAGGUCCUUCCAGGUACUCUCUGGCCAAUAGUGAGGCACAAAUCAUCAAGUCAAUGUCUCCUGAUGCUGGGGGCAAAUCAGAGAGCUUUGAGAACAGAUGCAGGGAUGGAAGGUUGGAGCAGGCUCCCUUCAACGUUUAUCUGAGCCCAGCCAACCUAUGUCAAACUUGAAGUUCCAGGUAUAUUUGUAGGACCCUCAAUCUUGUCUCCAGGGAUGACCCCUUUGUUAGAGGCCCAGCUACACUGACAGGUCAAGCAACACGGCUGCACCCAGUGUGGGAAGAACUUCCUGUCCACUAGUCUUUUCAGAUUCACAGACAGACUCACACUGGAGAGAAGCCUUUUGUAUGCAACAUUUGUGGGACAGCUUUUACCACCAAAGGCAACUUGAGGGUCUACUAUAUGACACAUGGGGUGAACAAUAACUCAGCACACCAUGGGAGGAAGCUGGUCCUGGAGAACACCAUGUCUCUGUUAGGUACAAAAGGAAAAAGAGUCUCAGAAAUGUUUCCUAAGGAAAUCCCAGCCCCUUUAGUGAAUGUGGACACUGUUGUAAGGAAUCAGUAUACCCCCACACUUGACUGUGGUCUGGCAGUGAAAACCAGUGAGCUCUCUCUGAUCCAGUGUAGCUGUAUUCCUACCCUCCUGGUUUCCUUGGAGGCUGUCUCCAUCAUGAAUAACACCACCAUCUCCAAGAUGAUGGCUCCCAAUCAGGUGUCAUUGCGGAUGUGGAAAAACCAGGUGCUAUUGACAGCAUUCCCAAACAUCAGUUCCUUUACUUCCUGGAAGAAAACAAGGUUGCAGUCUU
rnacentral:lncRNA from 1 species